UACGUAGGGUGCGAGCGUUGUCCGGAAUUAUUGGGCGUAAAGAGCUCGUAGGCGGUUUGUCGAGUCUGCUGUGAAAACUCGGGGCUUAACCCCGGGCCUGCAGUGGGUACGGGCAGACUAGAGUGCGGUAGGGGAGACUGGAAUUCCUGGUGUAGCAGUGAAAUGCGCAGAUAUCAGGAGGAACACCGGUGGCGAAGGCGGGUCUCUGGGCCGUAACUGACGCUGAGGAGCGAAAGCAUGGGGAGCGAACAGG
rnacentral:rRNA from 1 species